GCUCGCUUGGCGAAGUGGCUAGCGCGUCGAUGGUGACGAUCCGGGAUUUUGCCCAGGUCACGGGUUCGAUCCUGCUCGCGCGCA